GGAAAAGAUGGACGCGAUGGAAUAAACGGACGAGAUGGACGCGAUGGGACGGUUGGAGCAAAGGGAGCAAAAGGUGAACUAGGCAUACACGGUGUGAAUGUAAAUGCUAGCUUCAAGGGAUCUGUUGGAGAGAAAGGAUCACAAGGACUAAAGGGACAGAAAGGAAUACCGGGAACAUGUGAU